AUUGAACGCUGGCGGCAGGCCUAACACAUGCAAGUCGAACGAGUGGCGGACGGGUGAGUAAUGUCUGGGGAACUGCCUGAUGGAGGGGGAUAACUACUGGAAACGGUAGCUAAUACCGCAUACCAUCGGAUGUGCCCAGAUGGGAUUAGCUCGUUGGUGGGGUAACGGCUCACCAAGGCGACGAUCCCUAGCUGGUCUGAGAGGAUGACCAGCCACACUGGGACUGAGACACGGCCCAGACUCCUACGGGAGGCAGCAGUGGGGAAUAUUGCACAAUGGGCGCAAGCCUGAUGCAGCCAUGCCGCGUGUAUGAAGAAGGCCUUCGGGUUGUAAAGUACUUUCAGCGGGGAGGCGUUACCCGCAGAAGAAGCACCGGCUAACUCCGUGCCAGCAGCCGCGGUAAUUC
rnacentral:rRNA from 1 species